rnacentral:rRNA from 1 species
AUUGAACGAUGGCGGCAGGCCUAACACAUGCAAGUCGAACGAGUGGCGGACGGGUGAGUAAUGUCUGGGAAACUGCCCGAUGGAGGGGGAUAACUACUGGAAACGGUAGCUAAUACCGCAUCCCAUCGGAUGUGCCCAGAUGGGAUUAGCUAGUAGGGGGGGUAACGGCUCACCUAGGCGACGAUCCCUAGCCGGUCUGAGAGGAUGACCAGCCAAACUGGAACUGAGCCACGGUCCAGACUCCUACGGGAGGCAGCAGGGGGGAAUAUUGCACAAUGGGCGCAAGCCUGAUACAGCCAUGCCGCGUGUAUUAAGAAGGCCUUCGGGUUGUAAAGUACUUUCAGCGAGGAGGCGUUACUCGCAGAAGAAGCGCCGGCUAACUCCGUGCCAGCCGCCGCGGUAAUAC